UAGGGAAUCUUCGGCAAUGGGGGCAACCCUGACCGAGCAACGCCGCGUGAGUGAAGAAGGUUUUCGGAUCGUAAAGCUCUGUUGUAAGAGAAGAACGUGUGUGAGAGUGGAAAGUUCACACAGUGACGGUAACUUACCAGAAAGGGACGGCUAACUACGUGCCAGCAGCCGCGGUAAUACGUAGGUCCCGAGCGUUGUCCGGAUUUAUUGGGCGUAAAGCGAGCGCAGGCGGUUUAAUAAGUCUGAAGUUAAAGGCAGUGGCUUAACCAUUGUUCGCUUUGGAAACUGUUAAACUUGAGUGCAGAAGGGGAGAGUGGAAUUCCAUGUGUAGCGGUGAAAUGCGUAGAUAUAUGGAGGAACACCGGUGGCGAAAGCGGCUCUCUGGUCUGUAACUGACGCUGAGGCUCGAAAGCGUGGGGAGCAAACAGG
rnacentral:rRNA from 4 species